rnacentral:lncRNA from 1 species
UUCUACCUCUUUAGCACUGUUCUCCCGUAUUUAAGCCAGUUUUUAAUGCCCUUCUUAAUGCCCUCUACCAGCAUCAUGAGAUAUGAUUUUUAAAUUCGAGUCUUGCUUUUCAGGUGUAUUGGAGGAUCCAGGACUGGCUGAAGUAGGAAAGCUGGGUUCUGAUUAUGGUGAGUGGUCUUGGUUUCUGUUGGUAGGAUUCUUAUGUUUGCCUUUCGCCAUCUGGUAGUCUCUGGAGUUAGUUGUUAUAGUUGUCUCUGGUUGGAGCCUGUUCCUCCUGUGAUUCUGUUAUCCUCUGUCAGCAGUCCUGGGAUUCCAGAUCUCUCCUGAGUCUCACUGGUCGGAGUACUCUCUGCAGGCAAGCUCUCUUCUUGCAGGGAAGGUGCAGAGAGGUCUGGUGUUCAGACCUGCCUCCUGGCUGAAGAUGAAGGCCCAAAUCAGGGCCUGUCCCAGAAGAUGUGUUUGUUGCCUCUGUGGUCUGCACGCUCACCUGCACAGACUGGUCUCUGAGGGACCUGGGACCCAAGAUGACUCCCUUACCUGUUUAGGCAGUCAGAGCCCUUUCCUCUGUUGGGGAAGGUGCCUGGAUGUCUGGAGCCCGAAAAGGGUUCUGUUCCAGAUGCUGUGUCGAUUCUGCAGUCCGCACUCUCACCUGUGCAGAUUGGUCUCUGAGGGACCCAGGGUCCAAGAUGGCUCCCUUACCUGUUCAAGCAGUCAGCCACAUUAGUGUUCUUAAUAGACUAAAGUGUGUAUUCAGUAUUUGUCAGGGAAAAAACAGUUGUCUCUCUGCAGACAACCACUUCUGUAGUAGACCUAUUCAUCUGUGUCUGCACAUAUACUACGCAUCUUCUGUUAUGUUGCCCAAGUGAAGGAGGAUGCUAGAGAGAUGAAAACUGUGCUCAGGGAAGGCCACUGGCUUUCUGUCAGAUAC